rnacentral:rRNA from 1 species
UGGGGAAUUUUGGACAAUGGGCGAAAGCCUGAUCCAGCAAUGCCGCGUGUGUGAAGAAGGCCUUCGGGUUGUAAAGCACUUUUGUCCGGAAAGAAAUCCUUGGCUCUAAUACAGUCGGGGGAUGACGGUACCGGAAGAAUAAGCACCGGCUAACUACGUGCCAGCAGCCGCGGUAAUACGUAGGGUGCAAGCGUUAAUCGGAAUUACUGGGCGUAAAGCGUGCGCAGGCGGUUUGCUAAGACCGAUGUGAAAUCCCCGGGCUCAACCUGGGAACUGCAUUGGUGACUGGCAGGCUAGAGUAUGGCAGAGGGGGGUAGAAUUCCACGUGUAGCAGUGAAAUGCGUAGAGAUGUGGAGGAAUACCGAUGGCGAAGGCAGCCCCCCUGGGCCAAUACUGACGCUCAUGCACGAAAGCGUGGGGAGCAAACAGGAUUAGAUACCCUGGUAGUCCACGCCCUAAACGAUGUCAACUAGUUGUUGGGGAUUCAUUUCCUUAGUAACGUAGCUAACGCGUGAAGUUGACCGCCUGGGGAGUACGGUCGCAAGAUUAAAACUUAAAGGAAUUGACGGGGU